rnacentral:rRNA from 1 species
UACGUAGGGGGCGAGCGUUGUCCGGAAUCAUUGGGUGUAAAGCGCGUGUAGGCGGCCCGGUAAGUCCGCUGUGAAAGUCCAGGGCUCAACCCUGGGAUGCCGGUGGAUACUGUCGGGCUCGAGUCCGGAAGAGGCGAGUGGAAUCCUGGUGUAGCGGUGGAAUGCGCAGAUAUCAGGAGGAACACCGAUGGCGAAGGCAGAUCUCUGGGCCGUAACUGACGCUGAGGAGCGAAAGCAUGGGGAGCGAACAGG